rnacentral:rRNA from 1 species
GACGAACCGUGCGAACGUUGUUCGGAAUCACUGGGCUUAAAGGGCGCGUAGGCGGCCGGGUUGGUCGUGGGUGAAAUCCCCCAGCUUAACUGGGGAACUGCCUACGAUACUGCCUGGCUCGAGGGAGGAAGGGGCGGUCGGAACUGUCGGUGGAGCGGUGAAAUGCGUUGAUAUCGGAAGGAACACCAGUGGCGAAAGCGGCUUCCUGGUCCAGCACCGACGUUCAGGCACGAAAGCGUGGGGAGCAAACAGG